GAUGAACGCUAGCGGCAGGCUUAAUACAUGCAAGUCGUAGGGCAGCAGGGGUGUAGCAAUACAUCUGCUGGCGACCGGCAAACGGGUGCGUAACACGUACGCAACCUUCCCGUUACUGUGGCAUAGCCCAGGGAAACUUGGAUUAAUACCACAUAUUAUAUUGGUGAGGCAUCUCAUUGAUAUCAAAGCUUCGGCGGUAACGGAUGGGCGUGCGGUUGAUUAGGUAGUUGGCGGGGUAACGGCCCACCAAGCCUACGAUCAAUAGCUGAUGUGAGAGCAUGAUCAGCCACACGGGCACUGAGACACGGGCCCGACUCCUACGGGAGGCAGCAGUAAGGAAUAUUGGGCAAUGGACGAAAGUCUGACCCAGCCAUGCCGCGUGAAGGAUUAAGGUCCUCUGGAUUGUAAACUUCUUUUCUCUGGGGCGAAAACCAGCUAUUCUUAGCUAUUUGACAGUACCAGAGGAAUAAGCACCGGCUAACUCCGUGCCAGCCGCCGCGGUAAUAC
rnacentral:rRNA from 1 species